UUGGUGGAUCAGCGCUCCUGCUGCUUGGCUCCCUCCUGGAGACAGCCUGAACCACAGUGUCCUGCUUGCUUGAGUGAGCAAUGUGAGAAAAUGUGUUGCUUGGCUGAAGCUUCUAGGGCUGUGACUGGGGCUCUGGCAGCUGAGCAAAUGCACAGAGCUAGUGCAGUGUGGCCCAAAUCAACAUGAUCUUCCUUCAGAAUUUUGAAGACAUCGCUGCUGCCUUCCAGCCUUCUGAGUUACAAGAAGCUCCUGAACUGCUCAAUUCUUGGGCCAUGGCAUCUGACCCCAGCCGCCUUGUCCGAAUGUCCCUCGGAGAGCUGGUGGCUCUUCUGCUUCCCCUGGGUGCCCUGAAAUCUGAACAGCGAUCAAUCAUAAGCACCAUCUUGAGUGCUUUCACAUUAAACCCCAGCCCCUCCCCCAGCGUGCACCAGGCUCCCAGAACCCAGGUGCUGGCUGAGAAACUGAGGCAGGCAUUGGAGAAAGAAAUAAAAGGGUCCUUUUUGCUAAGUAUGUCUGGCACAGGCUGGUGCUGGUAGGAUUCCCUGGCGUCUGAUGGGCCAUGCUGGUCCUGCCAACCUGUGAUCCCCCAGCACCUGAUGCAUACUCAUGAGCCCAGCUCUGCAACCAACUUUGGGGUAGCAUCAAGUUGUCAUGUCCUGCACCUGGUAGCUUGUAGUUAGGAACUCAAAAGCAAACUUCCAGGCUUUGUUGGCCCUGAAAGAGACUCCUAAUAUCUCUUCAAGUCGGUUUUUGAUUUCAGAGAAGUCCUUCCACAAAAUGUGGGAUCAUCCUUCCAAAUGACCUAAGGUAAACUUGUUCAUUAUAAUGUUAAAUUCUCUCCUCCACCAUCUGUGAACACAUAGUGUGUGAAACGGUGUAAUCACCAACAGAGCAUGCUAAUUAAGAGGCCUGGCCCUACUGUGUGAUGACGUCCAUACAAUACGAAUGUGCCCGAGGUUUCCCAAUAAAAUCACCUCGUGUCCAUGUUUGCUGACACCUUACCUAAAAAUUAUCCCCAAGCUGUCCUCACAAUGGAAGAACUCCCUCUACCAUCAUCUCCCCAGGCUUCUUAUGGCUUUGUAGGCACCAAGAGUGACCCCGUUCUGUUUGGGGAAUCAUCCUCUGUGGGCCCACGCUGUCCUAGAUCACUCUGGAAGUAAUGAAUGGCUCACUAUGUCCAUAAUGCUGACCAGUUACAAUGGUUGACAGUAAUUGUCAACCUAACACAUAGGAGUCAGGCCUCUAGGUAGACCUGUGAUGAAUCACCUAGAUGAAUGCUAGGCUCUGAGGAUGUCUCUGAGGGGUAUCUUAUUAUGCAAAUUGAUGUGGGAAGACUCAAUUAUGGGUGGCCCCAUUCCCUAGGCAGGGGACCCUGAAAGUGGAAAUGCUGAUCUGAGCACCGGCAUGCAUUAUUCAUUGCUCUCUGCUUCUAACUGUGACUAUAAUGUGACUGGGACUUCCCAGCAAUAACAUAUUAUACUUGGAAGUAUAAGAUAAAUAAAACCGCAUAAAUAAA